UUCCCGUUGUCACUUUGGUUUUGCCCAGUUUGGACUCUGAAUUGAAUAACUGAACAAACCGAAGCAGACGGAGCCUGGAGGUGGUAUUAGAUGACCUACCGUUCCUACAGCAUCAAGUGUUAAACUGCACCAUUUUAAUUGUUGGGUAGAUCAUUUUAAACUCUCAUUUUGGGGGAGCUGCCCUCGCUGACCCCUGGACGGCAAUGAGUGGAAUGUGCGGACAGAAAGGACAAGACGGACAGAACAGACUCUCAGGGAGGAGAGACUCCGCCUGCAGCGAUUGCCUUACUCCGCAUGGGCCGCCAUCCCUCUCUGGAUCACCUAUGCUACGGUUAUUCCAUGUUAGACGCUCUCUUCUCCCUUCGGACGUCACUCGCUCCUAAAAUGCUUUGCUAAAGCUGGUAAAAUGGAACCAAAUCAACUGUUCAAUGGAUUUGGUCCCCUUCAACCAGCUGUAGCUGUGCAUUGAUCACUCCGAACAUCCGACGGAACGCAGUGGAACCAAAGAAACGCCUUUGUACGCUUAAACUCAUUGUCAUGUAAUUCUUCUUACCAGCGACUGUGAACAUUUAUCUCUUUUAAACAGAUUACCUGAAACAAUUUAGCUCAUCUGAAUGAAACAGCCAAGUCAGUAAUUAUAGUUAUCUUAGCGUGCGCCGUGUUCGACUGCGUUAAGCUGCAGCUGUCUUGUCCUUUGGUGAAUUAAAUUGUUCUUUGGAUAUUUUUUAUGGGUCCUGAAAGGUAUUAUUGAGAAGUAAAAGGACGUGAGAAAGGUGCUCAGGUUUGUUCCAAAUAUGUAUGUGUGUUAAUAAAGCCUCAAAUAGUUCAAAUUUAUAAACCUUUCUCUUAAAUAUGUGUAAAUAGAUCAGUUUUCAAUAUAUUGUGUCUAUUUUAACAUGAAUAAAGUUUUUUUUUAUUCAGUAAUACAUUUGGUUUUGUGGGAUUGAUAGGAUGUAGUAACACGACUUUGCAUGAAGAAUCAUUUUAUAAGCAGUGAUGUUAGAUGAAGCUGUUUUUUUCUCUUACUGUUACAAAUAUAAGAAAUAAGUUAAAACUCUGCUGUGGUCACCGUAGGAGCCAAUUAUUUUUUUGUUAAUAAUUAACUAAAUGUUUUAUAUUUGUGGAUAAUCGAACUAAGUUGAUUCUACUCUAUUGUUUGAUAUCUGUUUUAAGAUUAUGUUAUUUGGUUAUUUAGUUAUGUCCCUUUGUUUCUGGAUAGUUAUGAUUAAUUUGGGUGAAUGAAGUUUAUAAAUAGGCAGUCAAUGGUAGGACCAGCAUGCAUCUGGGUGGGCGGAUGUUUUUUUUAAUCAGCGCAAGAGAAGCAAGGAGGAAAUGUUUGUCCUUUUCUGUUUGCUUGCCUGAUGAGAAAUAAACUAAGAACACUGAAGGAAUUUACCUGGAACAUUUUGUUCUUUUUUACUUGUCCUUUCUGCAUCUGUAGCCAUUGUGGAUUUUUUCCCUUUUGUGUCAUCAAAGCUGGACCACAACAGUCACAUAAGAAUGUAUUUACGAUAGAAAAGUGCUUUUCCUCCUUUUCUGU